AUGGACUUCAUCGAAGCUCUACCAAAAUCUGAGGGCUAUACAGUGAUCUUAGUGGUGGUUGAUAGACUGACCAAGUAUGCCCACUUUAUCCCCUUGAAACAUCCUUUCUCCGCUCCAGUGGUAGCGAAAGCAUUCCUACAUACUGUGGUCAAAUUGCAUGGACCACCCCAUACUAUAGUUUCCGAUAGGGACAAGAUCUUUACCUGUCACUUUUGGAAGGAUUUGUUCAAGCUUUGGGAUACUAAAUUUCUCAUGAGUACUGCCUAUCAUCCUCAAACAGAUGGGCAGAGUGAAAGAGUGAAUCAGUGUUUGGAGAUGUUUCUCAGAUGUGCAGUACAUGAUACUCCAACAAAAUGGCAUUCCUGGUUACCCUUAGCAGAAUUCUGGUACAAUACUAAUUUUCAUUCUGCUUUGGAGUGCUCCCCUUUCAAAGCUCUCUAUGGAUAUGAACCUACUUAU
rnacentral:rRNA from 1 species